AAGACUAUACUUUCAGGGAUCAUUUCUAUAGUUUCUAACUUGAGAAAUGUGCUUCUAAAGUGUUUGGUCUCGCUAACCACGAUGAUGAGUCGUGAUAUUCCUUCCUGAGCGUGAAGCGGAUGGAGAGUAAUGAUUCAUUUCAUAAGCUCUCUAUCAUUGAUGAUUGUUCUGUACUUCUUCAUGGAGUGCUGAGGGAAGGAAUAUGAGCAGAGUGGU